rnacentral:rRNA from 1 species
CCUGGCUCAGGAUGAACGCUGGCGGCGUGCCUAAUACAUGCAAGUCGAGCGAACGGACGAGAAGCUUGCUUCUCUGAUGUUAGCGGCGGACGGGUGAGUAACACGUGGAUAACCUACCUAUAAGACUGGGAUAACUUCGGGAAACCGGAGCUAAUACCGGAUAAUAUUUUGAACCGCAUGGUUCAAAAGUGAAAGACGGUCUUGCUGUCACUUAUAGAUGGAUCCGCGCUGCAUUAGCUAGUUG